GGCUCAGUGGUCUAGUAGUAUGAUUCCUGCUUCGGGUGCAGGAGGCCCCGGGUUCAAUUCCCGGCUGAGCCC
rnacentral:tRNA from 1 species